rnacentral:rRNA from 1 species
AGGGUGCAAGCGUUGUUCGGAUUUACUGGGCGUAAAGCGUCCGUAGGUGGUUUGUUAAGUCAGGGGUGAAAUCCCGGGGCCCAACCCCGGAACUGCCUUUGAUACUGGCAAGCUGGAGCGUGAUAGAGGAAGAUGGAAUAUCUGGUGUAGGGGUGAAAUCCGUAGAUAUCAGAUGGAACACCAAUGGCGAAGGCAGUCUUCUGGAUCAUUGCUGACACUGAGGGACGAAAGCGUGGGUAGCAAACAGAAUUAGAUACUCUGGUAGUCCACGCCCUAAACGAUGCAUGCUUGUUGUUGGUUCCCUUCGGGGUAUCAGUGACGUAGCUAACGCGUUAAGCAUGCCGCCUGGGGAGUACGAUCGCAAGAUUAAAACUCAAAGGAAUUGACGGGGACCCGCACAAGCGGUGGAGUAUGUUGUUUAAUUCGAUGCUACGCGAGAAACCUUACCGACCCUUGACAUCUUGGUCGCGACUUCCAGAGAUGGUUGUCUUCAAUUCGGUUGGACCAAAGACAGAUGCUGCAUGGCUGUCGUCAGCUCGUGUCGUGAGAUGUUAGGUUAAGUCCUGCAACGAGCGCAACCCACGCCCUAUGUUGCCAGCGGGUAAUGCCGGGAACUCUUAGGGGACUGCCCGCGUCAAGCGGGAGGAAGGUGUGGAUGACGUCAAGUCAUCAUGGUUCUUACGGGUCGGGCUACAAACGUACUACAAUGGCGACAACAAUGGGUCGCAAUGCCGCAAGGCAAAGCCAAUCCUGAAAAGUCGUCUCAGUUCAGAUUGUCCUCUGCAACUCGAGGGCAUGAAGCUGGAAUCGCUAGUAAUCGCUGAUCAGAAUGCAGCGGUGAAUACGUUCCCGGGUCUU